rnacentral:rRNA from 1 species
UNAACGAUGUCGAUUAGCUGUUGGGCAGCAUGACUGCUUAGUAGCGAAGCUAACGCGUGAAAUCGACCGCCUGGGGAGUACGGUCGCAAGAUUAAAACUCAAAGGAAUUGACGGGGACCCGCACAAGCGGUGGAUGAUGUGGAUUAAUUCGAUGCAACGCGAAGAACCUUACCUGGUCUUGACAUGCACGGAACCCUCCAGAGACGGAGGGGUGCCUUCGGGAGCCGUAACACAGGUGCUGCAUGGCUGUCGUCAGCUCGUGUCGUGAGAUGUUGGGUUAAGUCCCGCAACGAGCGCAACCCUUGUCAUUAGUUGCCAUCAUUAAGUUGGGCACUCUAAUGAGACUGCCGGUGACAAGCCGGAGGAAGGUGGGGAUGACGUCAAGUCCUCAUGGCCCUUAUGACCAGGGCUUCACACGUCAUACAAUGGUCGGUACAGAGGGUAGCCAAGCCGCGAGGUGGAGCCAAUCUCACAAAACCGAUCGUAGUCCGGAUUGCACUCUGCAACUCGAGUGCAUGAAGUCGGAAUCGCUAGUAAUCGCAGGUCAGCAUACUGCGGUGAAUACGUUCCCGGGUCUUGUACACAC